UUCUGGUUCCCUCGCGACGAACAGCUGUGAACCCCGCCAGGCCCGGAAGGGAGCAACGGUAACAGUGACUUCGGGUGCCGGGGUGUAGCUGGGGCGG
rnacentral:SRP_RNA from 1 species